UACGAAGGGGGCUAGCGUUGCUCGGAAUCACUGGGCGUAAAGGGUGCGUAGGCGGGUCUUUAAGUCAGGGGUGAAAUCCUGGAGCUCAACUCCAGAACUGCCUUUGAUACUGAGGAUCUUGAGUUCGGGAGAGGUGAGUGGAACUGCGAGUGUAGAGGUGAAAUUCGUAGAUAUUCGCAAGAACACCGGUGGCGAAGGCGGCAUCCUGGACCAACACUGACACUGAGGAGCGAAAGCCAGGGGAGCAAACGGG
rnacentral:rRNA from 1 species